rnacentral:misc_RNA from 1 species
UCCCGGUUGGCCCGGGCAGUCUCGCAUGAAAAAUACAACAUGCGAUAAGGGUUGCGCUCGUUGCGGGACUUAACCCAACAUCUCACGACACGAGCUGACGACGGCCAUGCAACAUCUGUCACCAGGUUCCCGAAGGCACUCCACUAUUUCUAGCGGAUUCCUGGGAUGUCAAGCCUUGGUAAGGUUCUAGGCGUAGCGUCCGAUUAAACCACAUCAUCCUCUGCUUGUGCGGGUCCCCGUCAAUUCCUUUGAGUUUUAAGCUUGCGCUCGUACUCCCCAGGCGGCUUACUUAUCGCGUUAGCUUCACAGCACAGGGGGUCGAUACCCCAUACUAUUAGUAAGCAUCGUUUACGGCGUGGACUAC